GUUUGAGAGGACUUCUUCCGAACAUGAUUUGAUUUUAAGAAUAUAUUUAAUACUUGAAAUAUGGGGAAGCCUUCCUUUGUGUGAAACUAGGUUUGGACCUGCAAUUAAUUUACUAGCUUUAUCUGUUUAGAAGAGAACAGUUUUUGCUAAACUUCCUUCUAUUUUCUGGAAACUGAAAGAGGAUGAUCCCAGGGCCACAUCUGGCAUCAACCAUAUAGAAGAGGGCAAAGUGGAAGGGGAUGUGGAAGCUUCUUUAACAACUUUGCAGGCUGCCUGAGUUAAGAUGAUCAUCUUAAUCUAAUCAAGAAAUGAACCAACUGAAUUGCAGUUUUAUAGGUCUCUUCCACCUCUGGUUCUACCCUGUUUCCAUGCCUGACCUGAUUUCUAGGAUUCUUCUUUGAUAAGUCCUGAAUUCUAGUUAACAUAUUCUCAGCACUGGAAGAUUGGAAUGAAUUCAGCUCCUUCACUGACUUUUGAUUGAUUUUGUUGCCUUUCACCUUACACAACAUAAGAUUUGUCGAAUGCAUAUCUGGGAGCUAAAACUUUUAUGGAUAUAGAGAAUCCAAUGAUAGAUACUAGAGAUUGGAAGGGGUGGGUGGAGAUGUUGGGGGGAACAGGAGCAGUUGGUUAUAGAUAUAAACAUACAGUUAGAUAGAAGUAACUUCUAAUGUUUAACAGCAGGCCUGGGUGACUAUAUUUAGCAAAAAUAGUGUGUAUAUUUCAGAGUAACUAGGAGAGAGGACUUGAAAUAAUGUCAACAUAUAAAAAUAAUAAACAUUCAAGGUGAUGAAUACCCUGAUGACCCUGACUUGAUCAUUACACAUCCUUUGCAUGUAACACACAAAUGUAUCCCUGAAACAUGUAAAUUAUUAUAUAUCAAUAAAAGGAAUUUUAAAAAACCUGAAUAAUUGGGAA